UACGGGGGGGGCAAGCGUUGUUCGGAAUUACUGGGCGUAAAGGGCUCGUAGGCGGCCAACUAAGUCCGACGUGAAAUCCCAAGGCUUAACCUUGGAACUGCGUCGGAUACUGGAUGGCUUGAAUUCGGGAGAGGGAUGCAGAAUUCCAGGUGUAGCGGUGAAAUGCGUAGAUAUCAGGAGGAACACCGGUGGCGAAGGCGGGUCUCUGGGCCCGAAAUUGACGCUGGAGGAGCGAAAGCGUGGGGAGCAAACAGG
rnacentral:rRNA from 1 species